rnacentral:rRNA from 1 species
GACAGAGGCCCCAAGCGUUAGGCGGAAUCACUGGGCUUAAAGCGUGUGUAGGCGGAUCGUUAAGUGUCUUGUGAAAUCCCACGGCUCAACCGUGGAACUGCUUGGCAUACUGGCGGUCUUGAGCAACCUAGGGGCGAGCGGAACAAAUGGUGGAGCGGUGAAAUGCGUAGAUAUCAUUUGGAACGCCAAUGGUGAAAACAGCUCGCUGGGGGUUUGCUGACGCUGAGACACGAAAGCCAGGGGAGCAAACGGG